AAAAGUGAAAUCGAUUCGUGCUCAUUCACCAGGCGGCUGAAAAUAAGUGGCACUCGCCAGCAAUUACUAGCAGCGCCCACCGCUACCUUUAUUAACUUUAAAACUGCAUCCAUUGGCAAGGCGACCCGGGCGGUGAGAACAUAAAUCAUGGAUGAAAGUGAAAAUUGGUUGCACCUACCACGAGCACGGGUUCCCAGGUUCCCAGGUGGGCGUCGAAAGGUGCCGCGUCCGCCGACCCACGACCCCGCCCAUUUGCGGCGUAAUUACGAAACAAUACACGCGUCGGAAGAGAAACCAGCAGGAGGCCAGCCAGGAAUGAAGAGGCAGAGGAGCCGCCAGGCGUCCGGAACAUGGAGCUCGGAGCCAUGAGUCAGAGGGCCGCAGUAGCAUAGCCCCAAUCCCCAGAGCUUCGCGAAGGUGUUAUCUGCGGGGCCCCCAAGUAAGCACUUUAAAAAAUGUAUGGUCACAUAUGUAUACCCCCAAAAGGAUGGAACCCCAAAUUUAACCAGAAAAUAGUUUAAGCACCAUUUUGAUAGGAUCUACCAGCAAAAUCCUCUCAGUGCAUCGCCACCUGUACGCUGUGUAGUUUUCCUGUUUUGACUGCUGUGUUUUUGCAAUUUAACCGCAAUAAAUAAUGGAGCAGCUUGUUAAAUUUGAGCGCCCGCCCACCAGGAGGCGCUGCAAAAAUGUAGGUUAGACAGCCCAGGAUAACGAUAGUGAUGUUGGUGGUUAUGAUGGCAAUGAUGACGGGGAUGAUGAUGGCGAUGUUAUCAGUGGCCAUUUCACUGGCUGACCGAAACGAGACUCGUUUGGUGUGGAAAUGCGAUUUUUACAUAUGUGAUAUAGAUUUUAAUUGCGGGGCAUU
ensembl:ncRNA lncRNA:CR45298 long non-coding RNA:CR45298